UACGGAGGGUGCAAGCGUUGUCCGGAAUCACUGGGCGUAAAGGGCGCGUAGGCGGCUUGGUAAGUCGGGGGUGAAAGUCAGCGGCUCAACCGCUGGACUGCCUUCGAGACUGCCUGGCUUGAGCAUGGUAGAGGCUGGCGGAAUUCCCGGUGUAGCGGUGGAAUGCGUAGAGAUCGGGAAGAACAUCGGUGGCGAAGGCGGCCAGCUGGGCCAUUGCUGACGCUGAGGCGCGACAGCGUGGGGAGCAAACAGG
rnacentral:rRNA from 1 species